rnacentral:rRNA from 1 species
CCUACGGGUGGCAGCAGUGAGGAAUAUUGGUCAAUGGACGGAAGUCUGAACCAGCCAUGCCGCGUGAAGGAUGACGACCCUAUGAGUUGUAAACUGCUUUUAUAUGAGGGUAAAGUUGAAUACGUGUACUCUGCUGAAAGUACUCUACGAAUAAGGAUCGGCUAACUCCGUGCCAGCAGCCGCGGUAAUACGGAGGAUCCAAGCGUUAUCCGGAUUUAUUGGGUUUAAAGGGCGCGUAGGCGGAGUGUUAAGUUAGGGGUGAAAGGUCCGGGCUCAACCGUGGAACUGCAUCUGAUACUGGUGGUCUAGAGAGUAGCAGGGGUAGGCGGAAUGUGUGGUGUAGCGGUGAAAUGCUUAGAGAUCACGAAGAACACCGAUUGCGAAGGCAGCUUACUAAACUGUAACUGACGCUGAGGCACGAAAGCGUGGGGAGCAAACAGGAUUAGAUACCCGGGUAGUC